GCCAGCGUGGUAUAGUGGUUUGAACACUGGACUAUUACUCUGGAGACUAUGGUUCAAAUGCCCUCUCAGCCA